UACGUAGGGGGCUAGCGUUGCUCGGAAUCACUGGGCGUAAAGGGUGCGUAGGCGGGUCUUUAAGUCAGGGGUGAAAUCCCGGAGCUCAACUCCAGAACUGCCUUUGAUACUGAGGAUCUUGAGUUCGGGAGAGGUGAGUGGAACUGCGAGUGUAGAGGUGAAAUUCGUAGAUAUUCGCAAGAACACCAGUGGCGAAGGCGGCUCACUGGCCCGGUACUGACGCUGAGGUGCGAAAGCGUGGGGAGCAAACAGG
rnacentral:rRNA from 1 species